rnacentral:rRNA from 1 species
UGGGGAAUAUUGCACAAUGGGCGAAAGCCUGAUGCAGCGACGCUGCGUGUGUGAAGAAGGUCUUCGGAUUGUAAAGCACUUUCGACGGGGACGAUGAUGACGGUACCCGUAGAAGAAGCCCCGGCUAACUUCGUGCCAGCAGCCGCGGUAAUACGAAGGGGGCUAGCGUUGCUCGGAAUGACUGGGCGUAAAGGGCGUGUAGGCGGCUUACACAGUCAGAUGUGAAAUCCCCGGGCUUAACCUGGGAGCUGCAUUUGAUACGUGUAGACUAGAGUGUGAGAGAGGGUUGUGGAAUUCCCAGUGUAGAGGUGAAAUUCGUAG